UAUUUUUAUUUUUGCUGGUAUUGUAGAGUGAACAGUGAAAAAAACCAUAAUUGGUUCGAUAAUGAAACGGCAGCGUUUCUAACGCAAAAAUCACAACAUUUGCCGAGACAAUAGAGAGCACUUUUUUUUUUUUUCUUUCUCUAACGCAAAAAUGACAACAUUUCCUGAACUACUGUAACAAAAGCUGUGUGUUAGCAUCUCCACUUCUAUGUUGGUUGUCUCCGUGGUUUUGGCAACAGAAACACAAAGUCGCUCUGAAAUCAACCCAUUUUCCGCAUCAAUGGAUCUUCUGCCUUUCCUUGUUGGAAAUCCUCAAUUAUGAUCUCCUUAUAUGCCGUAUAUGGAUCAUUUUGCUAUCAGUUCUUCAAUAAAACCUACCUCUUUGUGUCCUUGAACUAUAAUCAGAUGGUUUCGUGCUUUCCUUCUACUCCUAAGAAGUUGGUGAUGACCAUUGGAUUGUUCCUUGGUGGCGCCUCCCUUUUUGCUAUUGGUGUGCAUCUUUCAUAUGUCAAUGUUGCCCCUCAACAAGCUCGAACAAAAGCUCGAAAUGAUUUUGUCAAAGAACGAUUAAGACAGAAAUAUGGCAAGUGAAAGAAGGGUACUCAACUCAUUGAUUUAGGUUGAUGAUGCGGUGAAGUUGUCAAGAAUGGUAUUUUGGGAUCUCUCCUACAGUUCUUUCUACUCUUAUACUGAAGAUGAGGAAGAAAUGUGCAAUUAAUUAUCGAGUACAAUGUGGUGCUGUGGCUAAAUGUCUUGAGCAGAACCUUUUGGUGCAGUCUUUUAGAAUAAGGGCGGGCAAGUGAUUCUACUCAUAAUAACACGUUGUAUCGGUCAUGGGUUUGCUUCAAGAUGUGACUGGAAAAUCAAUGACGUUGUCAGAGUAGCAUCACUUCUUUCUUCUGGUACUGCUGUGGAAAUAUGUUUCAACAGGUGCCAUGGAAGAUAACAAAUAUUCGUGCUUUUGAAACUGCCAGUCAGAAAGUCGGUUUUUCUCUUUGCUAAAAUAUAUGUGUAGCUCACAGAAGUAAAACUGAUUAUAGCUGUGUCAUUGUGGUUUUCUUAAAUUUCUUGUUUUUGUAUAAGAUGCUUGAAAUUAUUAUGAUUAGUUUCUGUCUGUGACUAGUAUUUCUUCAGUAAUUAAAA